GAAAAAAAAAAAAAAAAAAAAAAAAAAAGGGAACAGCAUGAGGACCAUUUCACACCCAGGAGCUAGGAUGAGGCUGUCCAUUCUGCACAUUGGAGGAGAGAGGCCCUCACCUCUUACACUUUUUGGUGAGAGGCCCGGAGACAGACUAGGACUGCCCCGCUCCCUCUCUCCGGUUCCCAGAGGCUGCUUCUGGCCAGUUUCUCCAAAAGGAGGGUCUGGUUUCCCCAGGGUCCCCAAGGCCCGGCAGGUGGGGGCGGGGCGGCCGAAGUCUCGGUUCCUCCUGGGGUUUCCUGCAGGCCCCUUUCACUUCCUGCCUGGCAGCCAAGGUCAGGGGCUCAGCGUAGGGGCGGGGAUGCCCAGCUGGUCUCUGAGGCUGGUCAGAGAGGAAGACUUGACCCUCGCUCGUCUCAGCAGGGAACCCUCCCCGCAAGCCCUGUUCUGGGCCACUUCCAUCUCUACAAAAUGGGGCUCCUUUGAGAUUACAGAGGACAUGAGCCUGCAGGGCCUGGGCCAGGGCAAGCCACCAGCAGGUCUGGAAGCAGGCGGGACUGCAGUUCCACAGGGACAACUGCCUGGGGCACGGAGGCCGUCAGCGAGGACCUGGGAGGACACGGAUGUCCCCGUUCCGGGUCAGGACUCCGCAAGGCGCUGCAGCUUGUGUGUGGGGAGUGCUGGACGCUCAGGAGUCCCUGACCCAGAAAACCACUAAGCGUUUCCACUUCCCCAAACCGCAGAGAACCAGGGAUCCUACCCCGAACCGGGACCCUGAAGCGACUCCAGGGUAGGUGAAAGUCGACCUGCGCGACUCCUGCGGUCAGCUCCACCUUGACCACCAGCAGCUGGGUUCUGGUGAGGAGAGGGUGGGGCAAUGGGCGGGAGGAUGGGCGGGGCCACGGGAGGGCGGGGCCGGCAGUCGACCAAAGGGGCGGGGCCAAGAUGCCUUCUUUCAACUCCUGACCUGUGGACGCGCACUCGUCCCAGAAGUCAAGCGCGAGAUGCUCACUGCAACCCGAACCAGGGAUCCAGCUCCAGGGCGACAGGGGAGGAGCUGCGGCACGCCUCCCCACGCCCACCCCGGCUCUGAUGGCCCGGUGGCUGCGCAGUGUGCCCUGUCCUGUCAGCUCCCUCGCCACGUCGUGGUGAUCGGUGACCAUUCCCUGGGGCCUCCGGAGGGCCUGAUUGGGUGGAUUCGGGCAGAGGGAUUACCUGAGACUCCCGAGGUGCGUGAUGUUGGAGAGGGGAGGCCAAGCCUCAGCUCCCAGCACCCCGAUGCCACCGCUCCCCCUAGUCUUCAGGAGCCUGAGCACCCGCUCCCUCCUACAAGCAGCUGGAGGCUGAGUCACGCUGCUCUCGGGAGACAAAAGCAGCUGUGUGAGCCCUCCCUCCAGACCCGCUCCUGUUGCAGCAUUUGCACUGACGAAAGCCCAUCCACUGUCCCCUCCCCAGAAUCUCUGCUCGAGGCUAAGCCUCCACCCAGGAGGAAUUUAAGUGGAUUUAGAGACAAGGUCCUUCUAGCUUGGGAGUGGCAACUCUGUCACAAUCACCACGCUCUGUUGAAUGUUCCCAGGGAUGGGGAUGGGGCCCCGUCCUCUCCCUGCAGCCCUGCCAUGGAGGUGCAGAUGAGACAGUGGAGGCCCAGAAAGGUAGACUGGCUCCAAGACCCCAGGAAUUCCAGCCAGCCGGGCACUGGGGACAGCACGGAAACUAGAGUCUGGAGCGGAGCGGUUUCACUCAGUCACUCGGCCUUCGGCAAAUAUCCCACAGAGACCUGAGCUUGGGACAUCCUCUGCCGCUCAGGUGGAGGAGCACCUCCCCAGGCAGGUUUCAGGGCUGCAGCCCAAGUCCCCACAUUGUCCGGGUGGGUGGAGAGCUCUCCUUUCCCUGCUCCUGGCUUCUCUUCUCAUCUGCAUCUAGUCACACUCUCUCCUGAAGCUGGCACGGGCCUGGAACCACUCCACCUUAAAAAAAAAAUAAAAGAAGAAGAAGAAGAAGAAAAGAAAAAGAAACCUGAGCCUGGGGUUAAUUGGCACCCCAGUCCAUGCCCUCCCUCCGGACUGAUGUCCCUUGGGGGGGGCAGUGAGGGUGUCAUAUUAACCUCUACAACCUGCAGGAGGCAGAUUAUGAAUCUGCUAUUGAGGAACAGUUUACUUUUGAAGUAAGGUCUCCUCCCUCUGUUGCCUAGGCUGACCUCCAACUCUUGAGCUGAAGAGAUUUUUCCGCCUCAGCUUCCCAAACAGCUGGGGAUUUACAGGCAAGAGCCUCUCACUGCCUGAAGGAAGUAUCUGAUAUUAACUUGAGAAACCGAGGCAGGGAGCCGCAAGGUGCUGCAGCAUAGCCACAUUUGCCAGUUCGACUCAACAUACGACCACAUUUGCCAGUUCGGCUCGACGUUCUGAACAUACGACCGGGCCACCCCCUGUGCCAGGGCCAGGUUCCAACCUUUUCCCUCAGUUCUUGCCAGGGCUUGUGAAAGGACCUGGGGGCCGCCCUCCACUGACCCUGCCUCAAGGCCGGGCACAGCCCCACUCUUCGAAGGCGGAGGAUGGCGCGAUUUCCACCCUGCCACAUUAGGGGAAGGGAGCAGAUCACAGGAGGCCGCUGCCCCGGCCAGGUAGACGCGGAGGGGUUGGUUGGCCAGGCGCCUCUGGAACCCGGCGGGUGCCCUGGGGUGAAUACGCGCUGCAAAGAAGAUCCGCGCUGGAAAGGGGGGUUAUUUCCCAGGGACCCGGGCUGCAGGGUCGAGGCGAAUCGAGGGGAAGGGGUCAAUUAGAAAGGACAGGGAGGACCAAAAGGAGGCUCGAUGGCAGACUCCGCCCGAGCUGCUCGCCCUCCGUGGUUCUGCGCCUCAGCCGCCGCACCUGGAAAGCCCGCUUGUGCUCGUCGCGGGCCGGACGUCCAAGCUCAGCAGUGCCGGGAGUGGUCGGCUGCAGGGCUGUUUGGGGGCGUCUAGGGAGGGUCCCUGGGAGCGGC
rnacentral:lncRNA from 1 species